UCGCAGACACGCGCACCCGGGGCCCGCGUGGCUGCUCCGAAUUCGCUCCUUAAAUCAAAUAAAAUUUUUCUCCCUUUGAAAUAAACUCCGAGUGAGCAGCACGGCCUGGCCGGGGUGUGUGUGGGGGUCCCUCCACCGGCCGAGCAGCCCCCAAAAACCGCGCGGUUCCCGCAGCAUAUAUCGGGAAUAACCCGGUACUUCGGGGACACGCGGGGGGCCGGGGCAGGGGCCGGACGGCUCCAGCUCCGGUCCGAAGGAGUGUUUUAAAGCUACCGACGACCAACGAGACGAAGCGUUUUCCCUGCAGAAAUCAUCACUCCAGCUCCGAGACCCUCUGGCAUCACUUCCCCGCCCGCCAGCAAGGACGGCGGCUUCGCCCACCAGUUUAUGCAAAAAAAAAAAAAAAAAAAAAAAAAAAAAGGUGGAUUAUUAUUUUUUCCCUCCUUUUCCCGAAGUAACAAUUAAAGAAAGUGGGGACCUUUGCCUUCUGCUGGGA